CCGCGCGGCGCGGUGUCCCGGCCGCCUCCCGCCGCCGGGGCUGCCGGUUACCAAGGAGCGGCCGGACGGCGUCCUGCCCGCGCUGCGCCCCCUCCCCUCCCCUCCGCUCCUCCCCAUGGCGUCUCGGCAGCAGAGCCGGAUCGAAGCCUACCUGGAGCGCAACCGGAUCGGGCCCCUCUUCGAGGAGUUGAUGACCAAGCUAAUAACAGAGACACCUGACCAGCCGAUCCCAUUUCUCAUUGACCAUCUUCAGUCUAAACAGGGCAACCGCAGUCAGCUUCAGAGAACCUUAUCUGGAUCUGCAGCCCUCUGGGCAGAGAGCGAAACCUCAGAACCCAAGGGAACAAGAAGAGACUUUAGAAGUUAUGAUAAGCCCUGGCAGGUAAAUGCAAAGAAGCCUAAAAAGUCAAAGAGUGACCUUGCCGUAUCUAACAUUUCUCCACCUUCACCGGAAUCAAAAUCAUUGCCAAGGUCGAUAGACCAUCCUAAAUGGGACUGGCGGACCAAACCAGAAAGCCAUGAUUUUGAUGAAUUAAACCAUAUCCUCCAAGAGAGUAAGAAGCUGGGGAAAGCCCUUGAAAACCUCUCUCGCAGCAUUGCUAUUUCAGAUGAACUUGAUAAGGACACAAUGGCUUUUAACUCAUCUCUUCUGAGACCCCGUGUGAUUGGGGAAUGGGUCGGCCGGGAGGAAAAUGAUGCCGAUCCCCUGGCCUCUGAGAUGUUGCAGCCCCCGAUUCCCAGAAAUAAAAAUGAACAGUGGGAAAGUGAAGAGAGCAGCCCCAGUCCUGGAGGAAGCUUAAAAAUGGAACCGAAGAGUAAAGGAUUAAAACAUCAGCAACAGCAACAUAAGAAACUUCUGGCUGCAAUGCUGUCUCAAGAUUCCUUUGAUUCGGUCCACAGUCCUACUCCAUCCGUAACAGAAGAUGAUAUUGACAAUGAGGAUGAUGCAAUGGAAUUGCUGGAAGAUCUUGACGAUUUACGAAUGGAAGGAGUAACGUCUCUGAUGCCUUCUGGGAGCAAAUUGAACCCAACUAGGAGCGCUCAUGCCGCUGAACCUCAGGCAAAGGUCACCUUGAACAUCUGCUCCCGGUGUGCCAGGUUACAAGGUGAUAACUUGCAAGAUGGAAUAGAGGAACCUGUCCAGGUCCUUCUUAGCCCUGUGGAAGUGGCUCCUGAUCCUACAGCUUCUGAACUGGGGACUAACUCGAUGAUGGAGAGCGAGGAAGAAUUUGAGAGUGCCUCUCAAGUAAUGGGAUCGCACCAGCCAAUCUGGGAUCUGGAUAACUUAUCUACCAGAAGUGCGAACUCUCCAAGCCAGAAGCUCUUAAAAGAUUCCUUAGCCGUGAAAGAACUACAGAAUAUGGAGAAGCAUCUUGCAGAUAUUGAAAAGGACCUGGCCCUGUGGGAAGAAGCGAGAUUGUCAAGAAGCCCGAACAGCCAGCAGGGAACCGUGGCUCCACCCGACGGCCACGGAAAUCCGCACUCCCCGGUGGGCCUCGGCCCGAGAGCCCGAGAGGCCGGCCGCUCCGGGAGGGCCGUCCCGGCUCAGCCACGCGGGGCCAAGUCGCCGCCAUCGGUGAGGAGGGGCCAGGCCUCUGGGAGCUCCAAGAACAGGGCCCAGGCGCCCCCGGCCCAGACCGACAGGACACAGACGUCUCCAGCAGCGGGAAGCAGACCUUCGACUCCCGGCAGCUUGGCUUCGCGUUCGCUUACCCCUAGCAACCAGGGGAAAAAGGAAGUCGUCGUUAAUAUUCAGAGGAGCAGAUCCCCGACGUCGAAAAGCCAAGCGGUGAAGACCCUCGGCUCCCCGUCCGCUCCGGUUGUUCAAAUAAGUGGAGGACAGGGAGGAAACGUGACGGCCAGAGGCAGUCUCCCUGAAGAUGAAUCUCUAAAACAACUGCAGGUCGGGCAUCAACCGUGGAUUUUGCCGAGUGACACUGAAAGUGAAGGAAUGGAACCGGAGCAGGAUAAAUGUUCCUGAGUUGGCGAAGUACUUAAGAAUGGAGUCUGAAGGGGUCCCAAUGAUUCAAAACGUAAUCUGAAGAUUCACCAUUGUUUAUUUUGUACGAUAAUUUGAAGAAUGGUUAUUUUUAUAAAGCAAACACUAAUUUCUGUAACCUGUGAACGAUGAACAGUUGAAUACACUGAAUCCCGGGGACACCGAACCAGAAAAACCAGGCUCACUGUAGCUGAUGAUGCGUAGCUCGCAUUCUGUGUUGGGAUUGGUUUAUAGCCUCGUUAUUUUAGAUCAACAUUUGAUAUAUAAAAUUCUGCCCGAUCCAAACUCCUCUGCUUGAAGAUUUUCUGUAUUUUAAAUGGUCUAGGGUUUUCUACUCCAUAUAUUUUUAUAAUCUUUUCUCAUUUUAAAAUUACUAAACAUGAAAGUAUUUAUCCAGGUAUGCCAAGAGAUGUCCCAGCGAAGUCUCACAGCGAGUUAGUGUUUCAGUCUCCAUCACUUGCCGUAUGUUACCUCGAGCAGAAACAGGAAAUGCCACCUGAGAUAAGGGAUUUAUGACAAUGCUGUCUGAAGACGAUAAUUUCAGGUAACCUACAUCAUGGGGAUCAAGCCACUUCAGUUCCAGCAUCACAACCCCCCAGGAACCAUCCUUUCCACUCAGCAGCAGGAUCCUGGUUGCAACUCUUGCCAGCCACGAAGAGCGGGGUCAUGCCACGGGAGUUUCUGCAGACAAUUUUCUCCUUGCCGAAGAAUAGCGAUGAUGGCAGCCCCUUUGAAAUCUGGUGGCAUUUGCUCAGCGUUCCAUAUGCGGAGGAAAAGCUCAGGCAAGCGUGGGGAACUAAUCAGCAAGAAUGAAGUGGUAUUAUAAGCCCAGGAAAAGUUCUCCCUUGACUGUCUCGUUCCUUACCUUAAUUGGUUCUUUAAAUCAUACUCUUGAGAGAUCUUUCUCUAAUCCUUCUGUGAUUUUUGAGACACUGAGAAUGUGGGCCUGUCUCCUAUCAACUCUGUGUUGGAUUAAGACCGGCUUUUAAA